CCGGUCCGUGGGGCGACGCACAAUUGGUCUAGCGUCGUCCGGUAAAGGGAACAAGCACUGACCAUAAAUUAGUAGGCAAGAUUUUGUUUUAAUUAUUUAUUUUUUACUUUAUCUGACCAAAACAAUCCUCAAUCAUCUUCCUUGCAGUAUUCACUCCUCCUCCCACUGCUGGGAGAUCCUUAUGUGGAUGCAUCUGGCAAAUUAUGGAAGAGUGGAGGGAAAGCUGCCCUCCAGUGUCCUGUAUGGAGAGAACGGGACAGCCUAGAAGAAGGGAAAUGGGGGUGGAGAGGAAGAGGAGAGCAGUGAGGACGAGGAGGAAGUUGACGAUGAGGAGGAGGAUGGCGCUAGAGACAUGGAUGAGGUGGAGGAGCUGAUGUAGAGCAGCUGGAACAUCAUGCAGUGUCUGGCCCAGACUGCCUCCUGUCAGAAAUACUUCCUCAUGACCAUCUGUUAUCAUAUCAUGUGUACAGUGUUUGAUCCAUAAUUAAUUUGGAGGGGGUGCGUGGGCACAGCUCCCUGAUUUCCUGCACAAAUCCAUCCAUCCUUUUAUCAUGUCUCCUCUGUUUCCUCUUAACCUACAUCGCUGCCGUUGACCACGGCAUGCGAGUGAAGAAAAGACGUAAACGCCCCAGGAACCACACCCAUUAAGAGGCGGGGGAGCAGGGCAGGCUUCCCAGCAAGCAGCAAGGAGACUCCAGCGCUCUUCCCGGUAUCAUCUCCUUCUUUCAGGAGUAUGUGUCAAGCAUCCUGAGCCAGAACUUCUUCAGCAUCACCCAGAAGAUCCAGAAUAAGGUGACUGGUAGUGGUGGAAAAGGU